rnacentral:rRNA from 1 species
AUUGAACGCUGGCGGCAGGCCUAACACAUGCAAGUCGAGCGGAUGAUGGGAGCUUGCUCCUGGAUUCAGCGGCGGACGGGUGAGUAAUGCCUAGGAAUCUGCCUGGUAGUGGGGGACAACGUUUCGAAAGGAACGCUAAUACCGCAUACGUCCCACGGGAGAAAGCAGGGGACCUUCGGGCCUUGCGCUAUCAGAUGAGCCUAGGUCGGCUUAGCUAGUAGGUGAGGUAAGGGCUCACCUAGGCGACGAUCCGUAACUGGUCUGAGAGGAUGAUCAGUCACACUGGAACUGAGACACGAUCCAGACUCCUACGGGAGGCAGCAGUGGGGAAUAUUGGACAAUGGGCGAAAGCCUGAUCCAGCCAUGCCGCGUGUGUGAAGAAGGUCUUCGGAUUGUAAAGCACUUUAAGUUGGGAGGAAGGGCAGUAAGUUAAUACCUUGCUGUUUUGACGUUACCGACAGAAUAAGCACCGGCUAACUUCGUGCCAGCCGCCGCGGUAAUAC